rnacentral:misc_RNA from 1 species
GCGGAGUCAGAGUUGAACACUGUGAAGUGUAAUAGCUACUGGGCAAAUGGCCUCGUCUGUUGCUCUUCAUCAGCUCGCUCACUGCUUCUUCAUCUACUCCCAGUCUGCUUUAUGGUCUGCAAGACCCAGAUACUCAAUCACCAGAAACAGAGGAAGCAGCAGCACUAAUAAUCUUAUCAGACCCAUCAAAGCUUCUUUAGUGGAAAUACCUCCGUUUCCUCUCUUUCAACCUCUCAAAGUAGAGGAAUCUCCGUCUGAGUUGGAACCAGCAGACCCUGAUUUCUACAAGAUAGGUUAUGUUCGAAGUAUGCGUGCUUAUGGAGUUGAGUUUAAGGAAGGGCCAGAUGGAUUUGGAGUCUAUGCUUCUAAGGAUGUUGAACCACUUCGCCGUGCCAGGAUCAUAAUGGAAAUCCCUAUUGAGUUGAUGUUAACCAUAAGCAAGAAGCUCCCAUGGAUGUUUUUUCCUGACAUAAUACCUGUUGGUCAUCCAAUAUUCGAUAUUAUCAACUCAACUGACCCAGAGACAGAUUGGGACCUGAGGUUGGCAUGCCUUCUUUUAUAUGCAUUUGAUUGUAAGGAUAACUUUUGGCAGCUAUAUGGUGACUUCUUACCUAGUGUGGAAGAGUGCACUAGCUUGCUUUUAGCUACAGAGGAGGAGCUUUUGGAGUUGCAGGAUGAGAAUCUUUCAUUGAAUAUGAGAAAACAGCAACGCCGAGCCUUGGAAUUUUGGGAAAAAAAUUGGCACUCUGGUGUUCCCCUCAAAAUAAAGCGCCUUGCACGUGAUCCUGAGAGAUUCAUUUGGGCUGUUAGUAUGGCGCAAUCUCGGUGCAUUAACAUGCAAAUGAGAAUUGGUGCUUUAGUUCAAGAUGCAAACAUGCUAGUUCCUUAUGCUGAUAUGCUAAACCAUUCCUUCCAGCCGAACUGUUUUUUCCAUUGGCGAUUUAAGGAUCGCAUGCUUGAGGUGAUGAUAAAUGCUGGUCAACAGAUUAAGAAAGGAGAAGAGAUGACUAUCAAUUACAUGAAUGGACAGAAGAAUGACAUGUUUAUGCAACGAUAUGGCUUUUCAUCAUCUGUGAAUCCUUGGGAUGUUAUCCAGUUCUCUGGCAAUGCGCGCAUUCAUUUGGAUUCUUUCUUGUCAAUAUUCAAUAUAUCUGGCCUUCCUGAAGAGUAUUAUCAUAACAGUAUGAUUGAUAUGAUUUAUCAUGACAUUUGAGGUGUUGAAUUUUGGCAGACGUAACAAAUGCAAAUUUUCAUGCAGGUCAGCUAAUGAGAAAUAGAGAUGCUUUUGUUGAUGGAGCUAUCAUAGCUGCAGCACGAACAUUGCCUACUUGGUCAGAUGGAGAUGUGCCUCCACUUCCAAGUGCAGAAAGGAAAGCUGUGAAGGAAUUGCAAGAAGAAUGCCAACAGAUGCUCGCAGGAUUUCCCACAACUUCCAAGGAAGACCAAAAAUUGUUAGAUUCAAUGCUAGAAGCUGGGAGGCCUCUAGAAGCUGCGAUAAAGUAUAGAUUGGAUCGGAAGAAGUUCAUUGAGAAGGUUAUGCAAGCAUUAGGUAUCUAUCAAGAGCGCUUAUUGUUCUAAGCAUGGAAUUUUCCGCUUUUAAGUAUUAAUGAAAAUUUUGUUACCGGUGUUCAUGUUCAUGUAUCCAGGCAGUUGACAGAGUUGGUAACAGGGAUAAUCAGCCUUAUCAAUCACAGAAAUUUCAUUAAAAGUAA